rnacentral:lncRNA from 1 species
AAGCCCAAUAACAGUCCAAAUUACAAAACAAAAUAGCAGGCCCAAACCCAAAUGCAAGCCCAAAAAAACCCUAAUGGCCCAAUAUCUAAACAGCAUUCAAAAAAAAAAGAGGAAGGAACCCUAGCCACCGCACCCUAUCCCUAGCCUUAGCCACAAACUCCUCUGACAGUCGCUGCAACCACCGCUCCUCCCUACCGCGCCAACCACUCCCUGCAAAGAAGAACAAACACGCAAGAAACAGUGAAAAAUAGAAGAAUAAUGUUGUAAAAUCGGCUAUAAAAAGCCUAAAAAUGGAUUGUAAAAGGGGGAUUUUUCUUGAAUAAAAAGAGAACAGAUUCAAGCAAAAAAA